rnacentral:rRNA from 1 species
AACGAGUUAUCUGAACCUUCGGGGAACGAUAACGGCGUCGAGCGGCGGACGGGUGAGUAAUGCCUAGGAAAUUGCCCUGAUGUGGGGGAUAACCAUUGGAAACGAUGGCUAAUACCGCAUGAUGCCUACGGGCCAAAGAGGGGGACCUUCGGGCCUCUCGCGUCAGGAUAUGCCUAGGUGGGAUUAGCUAGUUGGUGAGGUAAGGGCUCACCAAGGCGACG